UUCCUGGUGUGACGGUGCGCACGAGAGGCAGCCGUGGGGAUUAAGCUGGCUGGUAACAAGCAUUUGUAUUUACCAGUCUGGUUAACUUCAGAUCAGCCUUCUAAACAUUUCCAUGGAAACAAGGGAAGUUUUGGUUCACUAUAUUCAAGAGUUUUAUGAAGUGACACUGCUAAAUUCCCAGAAAAGCUAUGAGCAAAAAAUAGAAGAAGCAAAUCAAGUUGCAGAGAAAUGGGAGAAGACAACAUCUGCUACAGACCAUGAAAAUCUGCAGAAAAACCAAGAGUCUGCAGCUUCCAAUGGAUCAGAGGGAUCUGGACAAUGUGGUGAACACAAUAAGGAGAACCAGACUUUUGAAAAUUAUGUAGUAGACAUGAAGACAAAG